rnacentral:rRNA from 1 species
GUCUGUUUGGAGAUAUAAAAAGUUUAACCUGCCCACUGAUAAAAUAUUAAAUGGCCGCGGUAUUUUGACCGUGCAAAGGUAGCAUAGUCGUUAGUUUUUUAAUUGGAAUCUUGUAUGAAUGGUUGGACAAAAGAAAAACUGUUUCUAUAUUAAUUAUUGAAUUUAAUUUUUAGGUGAAAAAGCUUAAAUGAAUUAAAGGGACGAUAAGACCCUGUAAAACUUAAUAUUAAAUUUUUAUUUAGUUAAAUUUUUUGUUUAUAAAAACUUUAUAAUCAAUAUUUAUUUUAUUGGGGUGAUAAAGGUAAAAUGGUUAGUAUCUGCUUAAUUUUAAAUACAUUUAUAGUUGAUUAAGGUUUUAAAUGAUCCUAGUUGAAGAUUGAAAGUUUAAG